UACCGAGGGAGAUGACUGUACUCUUUUGUGAGUAUGAGUAUGAUAUUCAUUAGCACACUUUCAAACCCCUGGAAGAUGCA
rnacentral:snoRNA from 1 species